rnacentral:autocatalytically_spliced_intron from 2 species
AAACCGUUGUGAAGAAUUAUUUAUUACCACUGUUUUACUAUAAAAUUCCUGACUUUUCCCCGUAACGACUUGUGAGUUUAGCUCACAGAUAGUAAGUGAGGAGACUCCUUCGACUGAAGGAAUCAAAGGCUUACUAUAAAACGCUGGUACCCGAACCGAGCUUAGCUCGGAGGGUAGAGAUAUAGUCUGUGCCCCUAGUGAUAGGGGA